GAUGAACGCUGGCGGCGUGCUUAACACAUGCAAGUCGAACGAAGCACUUAUGAAAGAUCCUUCGGGUGAUGGAUUAAGUGACUGAGUGGCGGACGGGUGAGUAACGCGUGGGUAACCUGCCUCAUACAGGGGGGAUAACAGUUAGAAAUGACUGCUAAUACCGCAUAAGCGCACAGGACCGCAUGGUCUAGUGUGAAAAACUCCGGUGGUAUGAGAUGGACCCGCGUCUGAUUAGCUAGUUGGUGGGGUAACGGCCUACCAAGGCGACGAUCAGUAGCCGGCCUGAGAGGGUGAACGGCCACAUUGGGACUGAGAUACGGCCCAGACUCCUACGGGAGGCAGCAGUGGGGAAUAUUGGGCAAUGGGGGAAACCCUGACCCAGCAACGCCGCGUGAAGGAAGAAGGCC
rnacentral:rRNA from 1 species